UGAAAUGGAAAUAUCAAAUAUCCAGGAAGAGGUUCGUUCUUCGUAAGGGCUCCCUGAAAAAAGCUUCCGAGGACUACACGUUUGGCAACUGAAAGAACACAAAAGAUCAGUAAAGAAGUAUGCCGCUCUCUGUUGUCUCGAUUUUCCAAAUCUCGAUGCCAAUAGUUUUCCAAGUGCAUGGCCGUUUUGAUGCAAACCAGUCCAUGUCGAGGUGGAGGCAGAGAUGCUCUGUAACCAGAUGUUGCUAUAACAGAAGAGCAGAGGGAAGAGCAAGAGCGGGAAAGAACUACUAUGAAUUGCUUGGAGUUUCUGUUGAUUCAAACGCCCAGGAAAUCAAAGAAGCUUACAGAAAGUUGCAAAAGAAGUAUCACCCAGAUAUUGCAGGCCAAAAGGGUCACGAGCAUACUCUACUGCUCAAUGAAGCCUAUAAGGUGCUAAUGAGAGAUGAUCUGAGGAGGGAUUAUGAUGCUUUUGUUGGUCACCAAGAGUACGAUAUGAAACAAAUUAAUCUGGCUUAAGUUAUAGUUCAUGGAAAGGACCCUUGAGACCCCACGCUCUAUUUGUCGAUGAAAAUGCUUGCAUAGAUAAUUUCCCUACUCAAAAUUCGGAUAUUUUUUCUGUCAUUAUUGUCCAAUCAGGGACCUUUUUUCUCUGAACGUGGAAUUGAACUGUUGGCAGGGUGCAGAGAAUGCACCCACUAUGCAAGUAACACAUUUGAAAUGAAUGAAGCUCUUGGGUGUGCCAGAGUCAAAGUACAAUAUGGCGAUGAUGACCAAAAUAUAGAGGUAAAGCAAGUCAUAUCAUGGUCUGAAUCCUGCUAUAAAGGUUCUGCACCUGGGGAUGACUCCAAAACUUGCAGGUAUCUGUUGAUUCAUGCCCUGUCAACUACAUCCAUUGGGUGGAUAGAGAAGAAUUGGCAGUAUUGGAGUUCCUGAUUCAGCCUCAGCCGAAAGAAGGGUAUGGUGUAUUUGGAGGAGGUUGGGAAAGACCGGCAAAUGUUUUCAUGGCAGCCAACUCCUUCAGCAAGCAGUUGAAACAGCAGGCUGGCACUCCAAGAAAUGCACAGGCGACUGCUGAUGAAGAAACUCCUGCUCAAGCUGAGGCCCGAGCAAACGCCAGCAUGAAAAUAAAGAUGGAGAGAAUUUCAAGGCUUUGGAACUGGGUGAACGAAAUUCUUGGAUAAGACAUGUUGGAACAGAGUGAACCAUGGAUAGGACAUGUUGAACAGAGUGAACCAUGCAAUGCGAAGCAAAACGUCAUUUGAUGAGAUAUUAUCCGGGAGAAGCAUAGAGGCAGCACUUACAGACAACUCUUCGAUAAUGCAUACCAACUUAAUAAUUCACGUCGGAUGUGCCAGAAGAAAAGAGGAAGAGGUGCGCUGAUAGCAGCUUGCGUCUAUUUGAAAAUAGAACUUAGGGUAAGAUCGCUGGUUACAGAUCGUGUAUAUAUGAAAACAUAACCAAGUAUAGGAAGAAGUGGCUGAUUACCACUUUCGUGUAUGUACCAUGGCUGUGCCAUUGCUAUUUAAUAAUGAUUAGAAGACCAACACUUAAUAACA